rnacentral:lncRNA from 1 species
AUGAAUUUUUUUAAUUUCUUUAUUUUUCCUAUUUUGUUCAUACAUAUAAAUAUUAUAUGUGCUAAAUUAUUAAAAGAUAUACUUGAAGAUAGGAGAAAUGAAUUAAAUAAUAAUGCUCAAUUUAUAAUAGAUGAGCUUAAUUUGGUAGAUAAGAAUGAAAAAGUGCUUGGAGACUCAUUUAGAGUAUAUAAAUAUUUUUUGUUAAAAAACAAAAAUGAGGUUAGAGCCAUUUUCAUUUAUGAUGAUCUAAAUAUUAAGGAAGCUUCUAAAUUGAAAAUAAAUAAAGAAGAACAUGAUACCGAUAUUUUAAAUGUAACAAAAAAUUUGGAUCGUAUAUAUUUAUUAGAUGAAUCGAGUACAUUCAGUGAAUUAAUGUUUAAAGAACGAAAAAUAUUUUCUUUGCAUAAAGAUUAUUCACUUACAAGUUAUAUUUUACUCACAUUCGUGUUUGAAAAAGAUGUUGAAGAAAUGGAGCCCUCGGAGAUAUUGUCUCUUUUAUUAAACAAUGAGCUACAUAUUAAAAAAAAAGAUGUAGAAGUUGUAAAAACUGAUGAACAUUUGGAGACUUAUGACAAUAGGGACAAUGGACAAAUUAAGCAACUACUUUCUAGCAAAAAACAGAAUCAUCUACAAUCUUUUGUUCAAUUUUUUGGUAUAACUACUCUGAUAAAAAAUUUCGUGUCUGCAAUACCAGGUGCGAUUUCUGCUGUAGCAUCAAUAUUUACCUCUGUAGAGAGUCCAUCACCAGAAAAAUUUUUAACUGAAAAGGUUUCGAAUCUUCCUGAUUAUAUAGCUAAGUUAGACAACAUACCAAUGCAGCUAACUAAGAAUAUUGAUAAACUUAAGCGAGUUGGUAAAGCUGUGUAUAAUGAAAUCGUAAAUGAUAAUCCUGUGGACGCUAGUGAACAAACUAGUGCUAUGUGCCACGUAGAUAGCGGAGAGGUGGAUGAUGAUGAUGAUGGUGGUGAUGAUGAUGAAGAAGAAGAAGAAGAAGAAGAAGAAGCAGAGGAAGAAGGAGAAGGAGAAGAAAAGGCAGAGGAAGAAGGAGAAGAAGAAGAAGAAGAAGAAGAAGAAGAAGAAGGUGAUGAAUAUUAUGGUGAAGAAGAUUAUAAAGAAUAUUAUGGUAAAUAG